CCUACGGGAGGCAGCAGUGGGGAAUAUUGCACAAUGGGGGAAACCCUGAUGCAGCGACGCCGCGUGAGUGAAGAAGUAUUUCGGUACGUAAAGCUCUAUCAGCAGGGAAGAAAAUGACGGUACCUGACUAAGAAGCCCCGGCUAACUACGUGCCAGCAGCCGCGGUAAUACGUAGGGGGCAAGCGUUAUCCGGAUUUACUGGGUGUAAAGGGAGCGUAGGCGGCAGCGCAAGUCUGGAGUGAAAUCCCAUGGCUUAACCAUGGAACUGCAGUGGAAACUGUGCAGCUAGAGUGCAGGAGAGGUAAGCGGAAUUCCUAGUGUAGCGGUGAAAUGCGUAGAUAUUAGGAGGAACACCAGUGGCGAAGGCGGCUUACUGGACUGUAACUGACGUUGAGGCUCGAAAGCGUGGGGAGCAAACAGGAUUAGAUACCCCAGUAGUC
rnacentral:rRNA from 1 species